rnacentral:rRNA from 1 species
UACGGAGGGUGCAAGCGUUAAUCGGAAUUACUGGGCGUAAAGCGUGCGCAGGCGGUUUGUUAAGUCCGUUGUGAAAGCCCCGAGCUCAACUUGGGAAUUGCAGUGGAUACUGGCAGGCUGGAGUACGGUAGAGGAAGGUGGAAUUCCCGGUGUAGCAGUGAAAUGUGUAGAUAUCGGGAGGAACACCAGUGGCGAAGGCGGCCUUCUGGACCAGUACUGACGCUCAUGCACGAAAGCGUGGGGAGCAAACAGG